ACUCAAAUGAAUUGACGGGGGAGCGCACAACCGGUGGAGCAUGUGGUUUAAUUCGAUACAAAGCGAAAAACCUUACCCAGAUUUGACAUGUGCCUGCACGGUCUUGGAAACAAGAUCUUCUUCGAGAGUGGCACACAGGUGAUGCAUGGCUGUCGUCAGCUCGUGUCGUGAGACGUCCGCUUAAGUGCGGUAACGAGCGCAACCCCUACCGCCAGUUAUAUAUGUCUGUCGGAACUGCCCUCGUUUUUCGGGGGAGGAAGGAGGGGACGACGUCAAGUCAGCACGUCCCUUACAUCUGGGGCUACACACAUCCUACAAUGGAACUGACAAUGGGUCGCAAAAGGGCAACCUCGAGCUAAUCCCGUAAACUGUUCCUCAGUUCAGAUUGAGGGCUGCAACUCGCCCUCAUGAAGCCGGAAUCGGUAGUAAUCGCAAAUCAGCAGGUUGCGGUGAAUACGUUCUCGCUCCUUGUACACACCGCCCGU
rnacentral:rRNA from 1 species